AAACGACUCUCGGCAACGGAUAUCUCGGCUCACGCAUCGAUGAAGAACGUAGCAAAAUGCGAUACUUGGUGUGAAUUGCAGAAUCCCGUGAACCAUCGAGUUUUUGAACGCAAGUUGCGCCCGAAGCCAUUCGGCUGAGGGCACGUCUGCCUGGGCGUCACG
rnacentral:rRNA from 2 species